rnacentral:rRNA from 1 species
UCGCAUGGUUUUUAUAUUAAAGUUCCAACGGUAAAAGAUGAGCAUGCGUCCCAUUAGUUAGUUGGUAAGGUAACGGCUUACCAAGACAAUGAUGGGUAGGGGUCCUGAGAGGGAGAUCCCCCACACUGGUACUGAGACACGGACCAGACUCCUACGGGAGGCAGCAGUGAGGAAUAUUGGACAAUGGGCGCAAGCCUGAUCCAGCCAUGCCGCGUGCAGGAAGACGGUCCUAUGGAUUGUAAACUGCUUUUGUACAGGAAGAAAC